AGCUUUGCACGGUGGCAGUAUCAUAGCCAAUGAGGUUUAUCUGAGGUGUGAUUAUUACUGAUGAAAAACAGUACGUACUUUCUUUCAUAGUGGGGAAACCCACUCCAGUACUUUGCAGGACCAUCUUUAUCAAAAUGAAAUAUAAAUUGCCUGUCCAAGUGUAAUAAUUGCUAGAGAGUUCCAGUUAAC